UUAAACAAAGGGAUCAUAUGAAUGUACAUUUGCAGAUCCCUCCUGUCCAGGGCUGUGCUGUGCAGAAGAACAAGAGCCACGUCCAGUUGGGGUUCAGAAGUCUGACAAGCAAAGGCAACUUGGUGUGGGAUAAAGUCACCAGCACUUUGGCUCCUUCCCAUUCAACCAGCAGCUGGGCCUCCAGAACAAGGCAUGAGAAGAUGACAGUGGCUGUGAGCAGGAAAAUAGCCCCCAAGAAGCUGGCUAAAGCUGUCAAGAUCCUCAGGAAAGUCACCAUGCCCAUGUCUAGCAUGUACUGACUGCAGCGGGGACCAAAAAGGCAGAGAAAAGCCCUCAAAAGUUCUAAGCUGCCAAGCCCCAGAAGGUGAUCAAAAUCCUACCUAAAAUCAAGACAGGAUAAGGCUAAUGUCAUCUCCAAAGCCAGGGCUAAGGAGGUAACACUAAGAAAGAAGUGAAGAGAUUUCCAUUGGGAUGACUCCUGCUCUUUUAUGAAUCACCAUGGACCACCCAAAGAGAUCCAAGUCCUGCAGGACAAACAGCUCAUGGACAGUAUAAUGAAGUGAUUAGUGACGAAUCAUGAGACUUAUCCCUUCCUGCUGUAAUUCCACUGACUCCAGUGUUCUCUUUCCCCAGUUCUGGUUCCAAGAAAAGAAAGAAAUUAAAGCAACCUUCAGAACUAACAUGCUGUGGGAAAGUGGAAAUGUUGAUAGCUCAAAUUAUUCAGUUUCUGCUGUGUCUUGUGUGCGUCUAUCUGCUUCGUGUGUGUGACUGGUGGGGCUUUUUGUUUGCUCCAGGCAGGUUCAACCCUGUCAGAUUUGUCUGUGGGGAGGGGCCAGAGAAAACAGACAUCCUGGCCUUCCAGGUUGGGGUUAGGCAAAGGAAUAACAACCCUGUCCCAUAAAAAACAAAAUAUGUUACAGAAACAGUGGUAGGAACGGUGCUAGAGAAACUGGUUAAUAAUCACAAUGCCCAGGCUUGAAGCAAUCGGAAAUACAGAAUUCAAAAAGCAAAGCUCAGGGGAGAUUUGGGGUUUAUUCUCUGAGCUUAGCCAUGUGCUAUAGCACAGGGAGCACUUUUGGAAGUCUCCCAUCCCACAACUGGGGAAAGGAAAAGGAUUCUUAGGUUCUAGCACGGAUUGAAGGAGGACAGUGAUGGGGAAUAAGGGACUCCCUCUGACUUACCCUAUGUCUGUUGUUACAGAGGAGGAAAUGACUUUUUUCCCUAUCCCUGCCCUGUUCCUGCUCUUUGUUAUAGUUCAAUAUAUUUUAAGUGCGGAAAAUAAUAAUAAAAAUAUCUGCUCUCCAGCACAACCUGAAGCAACAUCAGAACAACUGGGAAUGAAACAAUUUGUUCCCCAAGGGAGAACUCAAUGACUAACAAUUGCUUUUAAAUGGGGGAACAGGAUAACUGUGAUGCUCUGGGUUAGUUUAGACUAGGAAAAGUGAUGGAGUUUAGGUCAGGUCAAGGGGAAAGCUAAUGCCAACCACUGCACCUGGGCUGCAUCUGCACUACAACUUUUUACAUUAAGAUCACUAACUUGAGCAGCCAACGCCAUGUACAGUCCUACUGGAUGGAAGGCACAGGUAGUAUUUGCCUCAGUGUACCUUGCUGGGAUCAAACCUCUCUCCCCAACUUGGAACUCAUGAACAUUCCUGGCUGGAGGGAUACACACUCCUAUGACUCAAAAGGAAAGGAGUUGAUAGAAAAGAUCAUAGGACUGACCCCAAAGAAGGAUGAGCUGCAAAAGGCAGAAGGCGGCAACUUAUCUGGUGGAGCUGAGACACCACGGUGAAGAUGAUGCAAAAAUCACUAUGUGGGAAUUAGCUAAUGUGAUUUUU